AGCAUGAUCAUCUGAAUGAGCUUUUGAACGCGAUAUAAGGGAAAAACAUCAGAAUAGUUGUGGCUGCUGUAGCAAAACAAAUAUUCCUCACUGUAUUCUUUCAACUCCUCCACGUGUUCACAAUAGUUGGGAGAGUCUUGAAGAGCCUGCACGUAAAAUAUCUGCAACAUUGGGAGUUCUGAGUACCAAGAUUGAUAUUGGUGUCAUGUACGAGGGUUUAGAUCCAAGAAACACACAUUAUCUUAUUUCAAUGGUUUGUUAUGGCCUAGAGCACUACAUCUGCUUUGUUUACAACCGUGCGAAAGAAAAUUGGAUUUUGUAUGACGAUGAUAAAGUGAAGGUUAUUGGUAGUUGAGAUGGUGUUCUUGCCAUGUGUUCAAAAAAGCAUUUGCAACCCCAACUUCUAUUUUUUGAAGGGAAGGGAAGUGUCUCUGUAACUCCUUUGGAGGAAACCAAGGUGCCUGACAAUCCUUAGGAAGUAUGAAAGCCUGAAAGGAAAAGAUCUAGCAACCAUGGCAAGGCCAAUCAAGGUAAGCAACCUUUUAUUAAAGCUAGGCAAUCCUGAAUAUCAUUCUAAUUCGUAAAAAAUUGAAAAAAUAAUAAAAUUGGCAUGCUAUACAUGUUGACACGGCAUCCGCAAUUUUCCAAGACUUGUUUGGAUGAUUAUAUUUCCAAAGAAAUAUGUAGUAGUAAAAAGGGCUUUAUGCCUACUUAUAAAGUGACUUAUUAUGUAUAACAUACCAUUAUUGUUGUUUACCAUCUAAGGAUCUAAGGUUAUUUUAAUGCCAUUAUACAUCUUAAGAUAUAGAUAAAAUGGGGCAUAUACAGGCAAGUGCUUGUGUUUUGGAUUGUUGCUCUUUUCAUGAGUGGGGAAAUUUGAUCCGACGAAGAUUCUCUGAAUAACUAACAAAAAAAAUAAAAUAAAAUUGAUGAAGUAAAAUAAAACCAAAUAUUGAAUUCAGUGUUCCAUAUUCCCCCUGAAACAUAAAUGAGGAAAUAUGAGCUUGCCAUAUUGAGAGGUAGCUAAAGGAGAUUCCGAACUUCUAAAAUUUAUAUUUAUUUCAUUUACUCAAGUAGUUGAAAACUAUGGAAGGGCCUUUGCUUGGAUUUUUGGUUUGUCCACAAUUUUCAGAGACAUCAUGAGCGCGUAAGGACCGUAAUGAGCCAAAGGGUUCUUUCAAAGCUAUCCUUAGGGUUGAUUUGGUAUUUAGAAAUAUUGAUUUAACAGAUACAUUAGGGCGAGAUUGUUAGAUUUUGGUUUAAUUUUAUAUUUUAUUACUGUUUGUUUGUAUUCAAUAUUCAAAUUUGUAGUUUAAAUUCUGUAAAAUUUGUGGGUUUGUAAUUCUAUAACUUCUAUUAUUUGUAGUAAAAAAUUUUAUUUGUAGCGGUAUGCUUUAUAAUUUUUUAUUUUUAUUUUUCUGUAAAUAUGAAUUUGGGUGAUGAACACCCAUUCAGUCAUCUUCUUCAGAGACAGUCUCAUAGUGUUAUUUAUGUACUUGAGGGUGACCUGGGAAACUAUUCCUAUGGUUAUACAUCCAUGCAAAAUUGUGUUAAGGAUUAAACUUUUAAAAUUAACACACUGGAUUAUAAAACUGAUGAGGAGGCGUUUUAAGGGUCUAUCUGCUUGAAGUCUUGCAGGUCAUAUGUCUUCGAUGGUUUCAUGUUAGAUAACAACAUUUUAUUAGUAGAAAGAUUCGGGUCCGACUUGGCAACGUACUUUCAAGAUGAAUACACAACAUUUGUGAGAAAGGGUUAGCCUUACACUCGUUGGUUUGAGUUUAUCAAGGGCAAAUUUUGUGCGAUUUUCAGGUAUUGUUUUCUUCUAAUUAUUAUGUUUAAUAAUAAUACUUUGUAAUUAUUAUUUUUUGCAAUUAGUUAUAAUUGUUGUUAGGUAGGGAUAUACUUAACGGAUUACGGCGCAUAUAUUCAUUACAAUUGUGAGUGGAAUGACGGCUGGCGGUACUUCAGUAAUCAAUAAUUGUGCGAAACUUUUUUUUGUUCAUAAUCCUAAAUCUGGUAUGUUUAGCAAGUUAUAUAUUUUUUUAUUUUUUAUUUUAUACUUUUUAUUUUAAUAAUUUCUUUUCUUGGUAUUUAAUUUUUUUUUGUUUUACAGAUUUUUUUUUUUUUUUUAAACGAAGAAUUUGAGGAGCUUGUUGAACUAAAAGAAAUAAUCAUUGAAAUUUUAUUGAAGCCGUGUGGUAAUUGGGAUGGUUUUAUGAAGAUGUUGGAAAAUUGUUUUCAACUAGUUGUACCAGUUGAUUUGUACUGCUUUGUGUAUUCUGUGUGAUGAAAAUUAUUUGUAAGUUUUAUUUUUAUUUUUUUAAAGCUUUUUAUUUAUUUAUAUAUUUUUCAAUUCACUUUUUUUUUUUUCCCUUUUUGUAGGAAUAAUGUUGAUUUGGAUUGGUUACUUGAUAAUUCUUUUUUCUAGAAUACAAUGGAGAAAUCUAAGUUCAUUCGGAAGUUGGGUAACAUUUUACAUGUGCAGCAAAGGUUAGAUACCUCUUUUCUUGUCAAGUAUAUACAUGAAUAUCUUCGUGAUACUUAUGGUAUUUUUACACCUUCUGGCUGGGAGAGUUUGGUUUCAAAGUCAAGGCCGACUUGGGAUGUCUAUUGUCGGUUUGAAGCAGAUAUGAAGAAGGAUAGCAGUGACAACAAUAGUAAUCGGCUUCAAAGUGUCAGACGUAAAAUAGUAAGAUACAUGUGCAACUUGUUUGAACAUGCAAAUUCGAGCCUCCCUAUACUUGUAUAUAUAUUUUUUUUUGUCCUGUGAUUUGACUUUAUUAAAAAUUAGUUCUUCUUUUACAUUUUUGAUAGAUGCGUGUGAAAAGGAGAGAAUUGUUCAGAGGGAAGACAAUAUUAUGUUUGUGUUUGGAGAGACUGCUCUCCUCUUACGCCGUGCAUGCAAUCACCCCUUUUUUUAUCUCCUGUCAAAUAGCCCCCAGCAAUACUAAAUGGUAUUUAGUGUUUGUGGUUGUUUUUUGUUUUGGAAUACUAAAUGGUAUUUGGUUAUUUAUCCCAAAAAAAAAAAAAAAUUCAAAAACAAAAAACAGCCAGAGAUACUAAAUACCGUUCAGUAUUGCUGAGGCUUUUUGACAGGGGAUAAAAAAAGUGGUGGUUGCAUGCACGGCGUAAGAGGCCAGCAAUCCCUCCAAACAUAUCGUCUUCCAUCUAAACAAUUCUCUUCUUUGUCACACGCAUCUAUCAAAAAUUUAAAAGAAGAAUUAAUUUUUAAUAAAGUCAGAUCACAGAACAAAUAAAUAAAUAAAGACAAAAAAGUUAUAUAUAUACAUGUACAGGGAAGUUCGAAUUUGCAUGUUCAAACAAGUUGCGUAUGUAUCUUACUAUUUUAUGGCUGACACUUUGAAGCCGAUUACUAUUGUUGUCAUUACUAUCCUUCUUCAUAUCUGCUUCAAACUGACAAUAGACAUCUCAAGCCGGCCCUAACUUUGGAACCAAACUCCCCCAGCCAGAAGGUACAAUAAUUCCAUAAGUAUCACGAAGAUAUUCAUGUAUAUACUCGUCAAGAAACGAGGUAUCUAACCUUUGCCGCAUGUGUAAAAUAUUAUCCAACUUACGAAUGAACUUAGAUUUUUCCAUUGUAUUCCAGAGAAGAAUUAUCAAGUAGGCAAUCCAAAUCAACAUUAUUCCUACAAAAAGGAGAAAAAAAAUAGUGAAUUGAAAAAUAUAUAAAUAAAUAAAAGAUUUAAAAAAAUAAAACUUACAAAUAAUUUUCAUCACGCAGAGAAUAUACAAAGCAGUACAAAUCAGCUGGUACAGCCCAUUGAUGAAAACAAUCUUCCAGCAUCUUUAUAGAACCAUCCCAAUUACCACACGGCUUCAAUAAAAUUUCAAUGAUUAUUUUCCUUAGUUCAACAAGCUCCUCAAAUACUUCGUAAAAAAAAAAAAAAUCUAUAAAACAAAAAAACUUCAAUACCAAGAAAAGAAAUUAUUAAAAUAAAAAGUCUAAAAUAAAAAUAUAUAACUUGACAAACGUACCAGAUUUAGGAUUAUGAAUAAAAAAAAAGUUUCGCGCAAUUAUUGAUUACUGAAGUAUCGCCAGCCCUCAUUCCACUCACAAAUUUGUAAUGAAUAUAUGUGCCGUAAUCUGUUAAAUAUAUCCCUACAUAACAACAAUUAUAACUAAUUGCAAAAAAUAAUAAUUACAAAGUAUUAUUAUUAAACAUAAUAAUUAGAAGAAAACAAUACCUGAAAAUUGCACAAAAUUUGUCGUUGAUAAAGUCAAACCAACGAGUGUAAGGCCCACCCUUUCUUACAAAUGUUGUGUAUUCAUCUUGAAAGUACGUUGCCAAGUCGGGCCCUAAUCUUUUUACUAAUAAAAUGUUGUUAUCCAACAUGAAGACAUAGAACCCUUUGCAAGACUUCAAGCAGAUAAACCCUUCAAACGCCUCCUCAUCAGUUUUAUAAUCCAAUGUGCUAAUUUUAAAAGUGUAAUCCUUAACACAGUUUUGCAUGGAGGUAUAACCAUAGGAAUGGUCUCCCAGGUCACCCUCAAGUACAUAAAUAACAUUAUUAGACUGUCUCUGAAGAGGAUGACUGCAUGGGUGUUCAUCACCCAAAUCCAUAUCUACAGAAAAAUAAAAAAUUAUAAAGCAUAUCGCUGCAGAUAACAAAUUUUACUACAAAUAAUAGAAGUUAAUAGAAUCACAAACCUACAAAUUUUAUAGAAUUUAAACUACAAAUUUGAAUAUUGAAUACAAACAAACAGUAAUAAAAUAUAAAAUUAAACCAAUAUCUAACAACCUCGCCCUAAUAUAUUUGUUAAAUCAAUAUUUCUAAAUAUCAAAUCAACCCUAAGGGUAGCUUUGACGGUACCCUUUGGCUCAUUACAAUGCUCAUGAUGUCUCUGAAAAUUGUUGACAAACCAGAAAUCUGAGCAAAGGCCCUUCCAUAGUUUUCAACUACUUGAGUAAAUGAAAUAAAUAUAAAUUUUAGAAGUCCGGAAUCUCCUUUAGCUACCUCUCAAUAUGGCAAGCUCAUAUUUCCUCAUUUAUGUUUCAGGGGAAUAUGGAACACUGAAUUCAAUAUUUGGUUUUAUUUUACUUCAUCAAUUUUAUUUUAUUUUUUUUGUUAGUUAUUCAGAGAAUCUUUUGUCGGAUCAAAUUUUCCCACCCAUGAAAGAGCAACAAUCCAAAACACAAGCACUUGCCUGUAUAUGCCCCAUUUUUUCUAUAUCUUAAGAUGUAUAAUGAAAUUAAAAUAACCUUAGAUGGUAAACAACAAUAAUUGUAUGUAAUACAUAAUAAGUCACUUUAUAAGUAGGCAUAAAGCCCUUUUUACUGCUACAUAUUUCUUUGGGAAUAUAACCAUCCAAACAAGUCCUGGAGAUUUGCAGAUGCCGUGUCAAUUUUAUUAUUUUUUCAAUUGUUUACAGAUUAGAAUGACAUUCAGGAUAGCCUAGCUUUAAUAAAAGGCUGCUUGGCCUUGCCAUGGUUGCCAGAUCUUUUCCUUUCGUACUUCCUAAGGAUUGUCGAGCACCUUGGUUUCCUCCAAAGGAGUUACAGAGGCACUUC